rnacentral:rRNA from 1 species
AUGAGUUUGAUCCUGGCUCAGAGUGAACGCUAGUGGUAUGCCUUGACACAUGCUAGUUGAACGUAACUUAUAAAUUUUUUUUAUUUAAAACAAAUAUUUUAAUUAAACUUAAAAUAAAAUUUUAAAUAAAAAAAAUUCAAAGUUAAGUGGCGUAAGGGUGAGUAAAGCAUAAGAAUCUGCUUAAAAGUUCAAAAGAGAUUUUUGAAUAAGAUUUUAAAAAAAAAUAACUAUUUUUUUUUAUUUUUAAAGAUUGUGGUUUAAAAAACAAAAUCGCUUUUAAAGGAGCUUGUGUAGGAUUAGGUAUUAUGUGAGGUAAAGGCUCACGUAGCCUGAGAUCCUUAGCUGGUAUGGGAGUAUGUUCAGCCACAUUGGGAAUGAAAAAAGGCCCAAGUUCUUUCGAGAGGCAGCAGUGGGGAAUAUUGGACAAUGAGCGAAAGCUUGAUCCAGCGAUACCACGUGAGUGAAGAAGGCUUUAAUUCGACCGUUUCAAUAAGUUAAAAAUUUUUAAUUUUUUGGACGACUGUCAAAUAAUUUAUUUGAGUUCUAUCUGCUGUAAAGCUCUUUCAUUGAAGAAGAUAAUGACGUUAUUCAAAAAAGAAGCCCCGACAAACUUCGUGCCAGCAGUCGCGGUAAUACGGGGGGGGCUGGUGUUACUCAGAAUAAUUGGGCGUAAAGGGUGUGUAGGUUGUUUUUUGGAUUAAAAGUUAAAUACAAGAGCUUAACUUUUGAAAAGCUUUUAAUAUUAAUAAACUAGAGUAUAGAAGAGGAUAGUAGUAUUCUUAGUGGAGAGGUUGAAUUCAGCGAUAUUAAGGAGACUAUCAAAGGCGAAGGCAACUAUCUGGUCUAGAACUGACGCUGAGACACAAAAGCAUGGGUAGCAAACAGGAUUAGAUACCCUGGUAGUCCAUGCCCUGACCUAUGAAUGUUGAACAUUGGAUAACAUUUUCCUUUAAGGAGAGAAAGAUUCAGUGUUUAAGCUAACGCGUUAAACAUUCCGCCUGGGGACUACGAUCGCAAGGUUGAAACUCAAAGGAAUUGGCGGAGAUUUGUACAAGCGGUGGAGCAUGUGGUUUAAUUCGAUAAUCCGCGAAGAACCUUACCAAGUUUAGACUUAGAAAUUUGAGCAAAAAAAUUAUUUUUUGUGUAUUUUUUAUUUUUUUUUAUUAAAAAGUAAAAAAGAUUUCUUGCAGGUGUUGCAUGGCUGUCGUCAGCUCGUGUUGUAAAAUGUUUGGUUAACUCCUUUAACGAGCGUAACCCUUAUUUUUAAUUUAUAUUUAAAAAAACUGCCUAUGAAAUAUAGGAGAAAGGUAAGGAUCACGUCAAGUCUUCAUGGCCUUUAUAACUUGGGCUAUACACGUGCUACAAUGGUUUUUACAAAAAGAAGCAAUAAUGCAAAUUAAUGCAAAUCUUUAAAAAUUAUCUCAGUUCGGAUUGUUCUCUGAAAUUCGAGAACAUGAAGUUGGAAUCGCUAGUAAUCGUGAAUCAGCACGUCACGGUGAAUUCGUUCCCAAAUCUCGUACACACCGCCCGUCACGCCAUGGGAAUUGGUUUUAUUUGAAAAAUAAUUUAUUAAAAUUGUAUAUAUUUAAUUUUUUAAAUUUUUUUUUAAAAAUUUUAAAUUUAAAGAUAAAGAUUUUAUUUUUAUUUUAUUUUUUUAAAUAUAAGUUUAUAAAAAAUUAAAUCACGAGAAAGUUUAAAAUAAUAACGAUUUUUUUUUAACUUAAUAAAUUUUUGAUUAUAGAAUUAAAGACCAAGGUGAAGUCGUAA